rnacentral:rRNA from 1 species
UACGUAGGGGGCAAGCGUUGUCCGGAUUUAUUGGGCGUAAAGAGCGUGUAGGCGGUUUGGUAGGUCCGCUGUGAAAACUCGGGGCUCAACCUCGAGACGCCGGUGGAAACCAUCAGGCUAGAGUCCGGAAGAGGAGAGUGGAAUUCCUGGUGUAGCGGUGAAAUGCGCAGAUAUCAGGAGGAACACCCGUGGCUAAGGCGGCUCACUGGACCGGUAUUGACGCUGAGGUGCGAAAGCGUGGGGAGCAAACAGG